AUGACGGGAAAACCUGCCAUAUUGUUCCUCAAGCACUGAAUCAUCAAGAAAUGCUCAGUAGCGAUGAAUACGAAGCCCUUCUGAACCUCAGCAGUGUCUUCCAGCGGGCCCCUGGCCAGGAUGCGUGGCUCGCCAUCCCCAAGACAGUGCUGCCGGCAAUUAGGAUUUUGGAGUUUCAAGUAACAAUACAAAACUUCAACUCAUACUGCAUGAAGCAAUGGGAAGAUGUAUUCUCUUACAUCAUGAGAAGUCUAGAGGCGGGCUGGCCUCCAGGAACACUGUGGUCACCGAUAAUAGGGUCUUUCUUCCCCUCCGCUCUCUUUAUCCUGAAGCUGCUCUGUGCCCUAAACCCUGCCACAAAAUGAUUUUCAAUGGAAAACAACGUGGUUUACUUUCCUGUUAACAGCCCUCAGAAGAGAACCAAAACCUCUCCUCAAGCAAAGAUGGUUAGGUUCCAUGCCUUCACUGUGACUGGCUUUCUUUUCCUGUCAGGACAGAGAUCUGACGUUAUGUGUGUUACUUCCUUAGCGUGUGGAGGAGUGGCCUCCUCUGCUGUCAGCGCGCCAGGCUUGCCCCCACUCUGAAGCCAUAGCCCACUGGUUUAUCAUCUCCCCAGUAUUAUUAUGCCUCAUCUGUAAACUGAAGAUGAUAGAGUAUCUAAUACAUGGUAUUGUUACCAGGCUAAGCUGAAAUAAUUUAUGUAACGUUACUUUGUAUAGUUUCUGACACAUAAAAGUGAUAAUAAAUGUUAGCUUUUUUUUUUCCCAGUUCUCAUAGGAAAUGUUAAUUUUUUCCUUUGGCAAAAAUAAACGUCAACAUUCUGAAACUGUUUUCAGAAAGAUGAUGUUAGGACAGGAAGGUUUUUUUGUUUUGAUUUUUUUUUUUUUUUUUUUUUGAGAUGGAGUCUCGCUCUGUGGCCAGGCUGGAGUGCAGUGGCGGGAUCUGGGCUCACUGCAACCUCCACCUCCUGGGUUCAAAUGAUUCUCCUGCCUCAGCAGCCAGAGUAGCUGGGAUUACAGGAACCCACCACCACACCCAGCUAAUUUUUGUAUUUUUAGAAGAGACAGGGUUUCACCCUGUUGGCCAGGCUGGUCUUGAACUCCUGACCUCGUGAUCAGCCUGCCUUGGCCUCCCAAAGUGCUGGGAUUACAGGUGUGAGCCACUGCGCCCAGGCUAGGACAAGAAGUCUUGUCGGCUUAGUUCAUUGCUAGCACCUAAAAGUAAGAGCUGGCACCCAGUUAGUACCUCAGUUAAUGUAAGGCAUCUUCUAGAGUAGAACCAGUCUUUUAAUUUUUGAGAAUGCUUCAAGUAAAAAUGUUAAGUCCCACAGAUGUAUCACUUCUGGAAUGUCUUGGGUGUUGACACUCAGUCAGAACUCUACCACAUCCCUCAACCCUCCAGUGGACAUUCGAUGCCUUUAGAUCCCGGCUCCUCCCCUUGCUCUUGGCAAAGGAUGGCUGAAGCCCUGGGGAGAGUCGAGCUGGCUAUGACACACUUAAAAGAUGUAAAGUGAAGACAGGUUUAAGAUCUUUGUGGUGUUAGUGACACCAGGGAAUUCUCCCUACAAGGGCCUAGAUUUUUAGAUCACAAAUUACUCAUGAACAGAAGAUUGUUUAUAUAAUUCCUGGAGAAGUGAUUCUAAUAGAGACCCAAAAGGGGUAAAAAAGAUAAUCACGGGACCGAGUGAAGACAGUUUUCGGCUUUGAGUGUGCGUGGAGUAAAUACAGCGUGCCCUGUCUGAGAUUCCAGCACCAGAUCCUCAUUCGGGACGUAGAGUUCUGCCAAGAUCCAACUGCUGCCAUGAUUUAGCUAGAGCCAAAACGCACUGAAAAAAAAAGACUUUUCAUAGAGAGACAGGUGGACGGUUACGCUCUGGCUGGCGUGCCCACUUUGCCUCUGCUACUGAACAAAAGGUCCCCGUGCAAGGCCAAUGCGUAAUGAGCUACAGUUCGGCUGGAAAUACAUUUUCGAUGGCUUCCAUCCCUCUGCAGAACAACAGGGAAACCCAAUUCAGGUCAGCACUUCGUAGCAUCCUCAUUUGACGAGAAAGAACGUUUUUUUCACUGGCUGCCGGCACAGUCUCCCGGCUCAUGGGAAGAAGCAUCUUGGAUCCACUUGGCACAGGUGGUGAGGUCGAGUCCCAUCACUGUCCGUGCAGAACUCCGCCAGCGUCUCUGCUUAGAGAUUUGCUGCAUAUUAUCGUAUGCAGUGCAUGCAAAUAGACCUUCAUUUAUCUCUGGCGCCUUCUC
ensembl:lncRNA